rnacentral:rRNA from 1 species
UAGGGAAUCUUCCACAAUGGACGCAAGUCUGAUGGAGCAACGCCGCGUGAGUGAAGAAGGUUUUCGGAUCGUAAAGCUCUGUUGUUGGUGAAGAAGGAUAGAGGCAGUAACUGGUCUUUAUUUGACGGUAAUCAACCAGAAAGUCACGGCUAACUACGUGCCAGCAGCCGCGGUAUUACGUAGGUGGCAAGCGUUGUCCGGAUUUAUUGGGCGUAAAGCGAGCGCAGGCGGAAUGAUAAGUCUGAUGUGAAAGCCCACGGCUCAACCGUGGAACUGCAUCGGAAACUGUCAUUCUUGAGUGCAGAAGAGGAGAGUGGAAUUCCAUGUGUAGCGGUGGAAUGCGUAGAUAUAUGGAAGAACACCAGUGGCGAAGGCGGCUCUCUGGUCUGCAACUGACGCUGAGGCUCGAAAGCAUGGGUAGCGAACAGG